rnacentral:rRNA from 1 species
UACGAAGGGGGCUAGCGUUGCUCGGAAUCACUGGGCGUAAAGGGCGCGUAGGCGGCGUUUUAAGUCGGGGGUGAAAGCCUGUGGCUCAACCACAGAAUGGCCUUCGAUACUGGGACGCUUGAGUAUGGUAGAGGUUGGUGGAACUGCGAGUGUAGAGGUGAAAUUCGUAGAUAUUCGCAAGAACACCGGUGGCGAAGGCAGCCAACUGGACCAUUACUGACGCUGAGGCGCGAAAGCGUGGGGAGCAAACAGG